AGCCUUCAGUAGCUGGUAGUGGAAGGAGGAGCUCUGACUACACUCUCACGACUGUUUUUUGCCUCUUGGUUCUUGUUAUGUCCCUUUCUUUUUGAAAUAAGACAGAAGGUCCCCACCUUCAUAGACAUAGAGAGAUCCCAUCUUAUUUGUUUUUAAAAAUAAAUUGAAAAGUGAGGCGGAGCCUUGUGAGGAUGAUGGGAGAGGGCUUCCAGAGAGGAAUUUCUUCUUUGGAAUUCCUGAAAUGGGAACAAACUUGUUUUGGGAAAAGGACAGAAAGACACAAAGGUGGCUGCAGCAGAGUGAAAUGAAUAUGAUGGGCUAAGGCCUCGUACACGUAGUGAGCAUUGACAAAGAAUAUGGACUUUAGUUGAGAUGGGAAACCACUGGAGGAUUACAGCCUGGGGAUUACUGUUAAUUCUCCAAGAAGAAGACUGACCAGCGGCUGUGUGAGAAUGUCCUGUAAUGCAGGCAAGGGUGGAAGCAGGGAGACCAGCUAGGAGGCUGGUGGCGAAGUGCAGGUUUGGACGCCCGCUCCAAGCGCUGGUUAAAAAUAAUAUGGAGACGGCACGGGAUUUGGCCUCUAGAAAAUAUAGGUCCCAUUGAAGAUGUGCAGGCGUCUGCACACGGCGGUGUGGAGGAGAAUAUGACAUCAGAUAUUAUUUGGUCGAAGAUCUCAGUGAAUACCCAUCUGUCCAUCUUGAAGACCUCAUGACACCGGAGAUGGCUGGGUUAACAUGGCACAAUCUCGGCUCAAUGAACCCAUCAGCUCCCAGGUUUGAGGACUUCUCCGGCUUCCGCAUCCCGAGUAGCUGGGAUUACGGACGCCUGCCACCACACCCAGCUCAAAUCAUUUUAUGAAUGCAUAUUUCCAUCUGGGUGAAAAAAAAAUCACAAGCCUCUCUCUCUUCCUACUGAGCACCUGUGAACAGUGACCUGCAGUUUGUGGCUGCAGCCAGUCCUCAUGGAGCCUGCUGUUCUUACAUUUCAUUCUGAGGCUCACAUUCUCAGUCACCAUGCAGAAGAACACCCGCCCCAUCCUGGGUCAUUACAGAGUGGGCCAAUCCAUCUGCUGCAUCUGAGGAGCUGGGUCCAGCUUCUACGGUGAAUCCAUAUAUUUCUGUAUUUCCUGGAUAAGGAAGAGGAAAGGAGCUGAGCUGGUGGAGGAAGAAGAUCUAAUAUUAACUGACUCCUUAUUUUGUACCAGCAAAGCAGUUGCCGCUACAGACUGAAUGCAUUUGGGCCAUCCGUGGGUUAGUGGGUUCACGGAAUUCACAUCAAAUCAGAAUCAAAACCAAAACCAAAGUGCAGAUAAAGGCACGCCCGUUCGUCAAGCAGUUUAAACCAAGUGAAAAUCAAAACCAAAACCAAAACCAAAGUGCUGAUAAAGGCACGCUGUGGGUGAUCAGGCCAUGCUUCCACUCAAAUGGAGUGGACAAGUUCCCAAGACCGGUCCUGUCAAGCAGCUCAAACCAAGUCAAAAUCAAAACCAAAACCAAAGUGCUGAUAAAGGCACGCCCGUUUGCCUAGGAAUUCAAACCAAGUCAAAAUCAAAACCAAAACCAAAGUGCCGAUAAAGGCAUGCCGUGGGUGAUCAGGCCACGCUUCCACUCAAAUGGAGUGGGCAAGUUCCCAAGACCAGUCCUACCGUAUUCCAGAUAUCUGGACUCCAAGCGCCAGUUCCUUCCCGGUGUUCAGCCACUGCACUGAUCCUCUGCGGGGGCCUGCCAUGCACUGCUCUGACGAGGCAUUGCACCGGGGCAAAUGCCUACCCAGGAGCAUGCUCAGGAACCGCGUAGCUCAAGCUGGCCGGAGUCCCCUGCAGGGAUGCUCCACAGGGCAAGCCUAAGCUGCCUAAGAGGCUGCCUCGCUUCCCGGUCAGGGAACCAAGAAAUGUAGCAGGAUGAGCCACAGACAAAACUCCUCAGACACCGGGUUAAACAAGGAAGAGGCUUUAUUCGGCCGGGAAAUCGGCAGACUUGCGUCUCAAGAACAGAACUAAGCUCCCCGAAGAAAGAGUUCCUGGCCCUUUUAAGGGCUUACAACUCUAAGGGGUCCAGGUGACAGGGUCGUGAUAGACUGAGCAAGCAUGGGGUACGUGACUAGGUGGGGGUAAGCAAGUCAAGGACGUGUCAACAUAGAGACUUAGGAGGACAAAGUGAACUUCCUGAUCCCCAACAGGCAGAUCCCCAAAAGCCAAAAUGUAUGUGUCACCUUGGAAGAUGACGCACCAGGAAGAAUGGGGAGGAGGGAGGAGGAAAAACUGCUGAUGAGGCCGACUCGCUCUUUGGGGCUUAUCAUAUCAGCAAAGCCAGCUCUUUUGAGAUGGAAGAACAAAGAUGUUUCUCCUCUGUGAGGAGGUGACAGUGGUGUUCUGGGUGAAGGAGAGCAGCUUUGUCCUGGAAGGAAUCUGACUUGGAAGGAGGCCCAGUUGUCCAGCAGUGGAUAUGACGUCAGAUAUUGACACAGCCAACAAUCGACUCAUCAUUUCUGAAGACCUGUGGAGUGUCCAUUGUGG
rnacentral:lncRNA from 1 species